rnacentral:lncRNA from 1 species
GGUUUUGAACAGGCAAUGACUUCCAUGAUAUCACAGCUUACAUGGUAUAAAAGGGUGGCGAAAUCACUGCCGUGGGAUGUACGGGUGGUGCAGCCUUCGGUAAAAAAAAUCCAGUAGUACAUUUAAUUGACAUAUUAAUUUCCUUUAUUACCUAUUUGGUUAUAUGUAAGAUCAAUGAUGGUGCAAUACUAUUACCUAUUUAGUUAUAUGUAAGAAAAUUGAAAUUUAAUACAUUUUAAUUGACAUAUUAAUUUCCUUUAUUAAUACAUUUUCCUCUGUUUAGGGCAACAUUCUAAUAUCAAUUUGGAGGCUAUUGAAGUUGGUAAUGAUACACUGCAAUUUCCAAAAGGUGUAUUGGGCUCUGCAAGUGCGAAAGAAACAAUAAUUGAUAGUGGCAAAACCAUGAUGUAUCUUCGAAAUGAGGUCUAUCAACCAUUGAUCACUAAGGUAUAUAUGAAUAUUGCUGAACUGAAGAUCAUGUUAAGAGACCUAAUUUCAACAAUAAAUGUUGGCGAACAAUGAUGAAUUGGAUGUGCGUACAGUUGAGGAACAUUUUCAAUGGCUCGAGUUUAAUGCAAGGUAUUAUCAGCAUAUUAAUUCAAAAUCAACUCAUUAUUUAUCAUGCUCUUUUGUUAUUCUACCUUUGGCUUCGAUUGAUUUUAUGAAAAAGUAAGAAAUCCAAAUCGUUUAAGAAAUAGUCUUCUUCAAAUGUAGGUCAUAAUCUCCACAAUGUAGUGCCUACUUUUGCAUUUGUUAUUCCGAACCAGUACAAAAUGAGUAGCUGCAAACUAAUUAGGGCCCUAUUAUUAUUUCCUACAGGGUAUUCAAUGGAAUCUUGUCGUUGUUUGCCUUAUUAUGUCCUACAUAGGCAAUGGAAUCUUUGAAAGAAACCUUGCGUUGUGGAACUGCUGAUGAACUGGAAUAGACUUUUGAUUGAUCCUCACUAAAAUACUAAACUUCAUUACCUGGGGGAUGCAGCUCCACGAUUACAACAAGGAGAAAUACGGCACUGUACGAGAUGUAACCUAGGUUAAGAUGUUUCCUGGUAUGUUUGUUGUUUUUUUUCUUGGUCAGAGGGAGAGGUCAAGGGGUGAAGUAUUGAAACAUGUAGGGGUACUAUAUACA